GUAGGGUGCGAGCGUUGUCCGGAAUUAUUGGGCGUAAAGGGCUCSUAGGCGGUUUGUCACGUCGGGAGUGAAAACUCAGGGCUUAACCCUGAGCCUGCUUCCGAUACGGGCAGACUAGAGGUAUGCAGGGGAGAACGGAAUUCCUGGUGUAGCGGUGAAAUGCGCAGAUAUCAGGAGGAACACCGGUGGCGAAGGCGGUUCUCUGGGCAUUACCUGACGCUGAGGAGCGAAAGUGUGGGGAGCGAACAGGAUUAGAUACCCUGGUAGUCCACACCGUAAACGUUGGGCGCUAGGUGUGGGACUCAUUCCACGAGUUCCGUGCCGCAGCUAACGCAUUAAGCGCCCCGCCUGGGGAGUACGGCCGCAAGGCUA
rnacentral:rRNA from 1 species